rnacentral:rRNA from 1 species
UGAACGCUGGCGGCGUGCCUAACACAUGCAAGUCGAACGAAGCACAUAUAUCCGAUCCUCGGGUGACGACAUCUGUGACUGAGUGGCGGACGGGUGAGUAACGCGUGGGUAACCUGCCCUGUACAGGGGGAUAACAGUCAGAAAUGACUGCUAAUACCGCAUAAGCGCACGAUGGUAGCAUUACCAGGUGUGAAAAAACUCCGGUGGUACAGGAUGGGCCCGCGUCUGAUUAGCUGGUUGGCGGGGUAAAAGGCCCACCAAGGCGACGAUCAGUAGCCGGUCUGAGAGGAUGAACGGCCACAUUGGAACUGAGACACGGUCCAAACUCCUACGGGAGGCAGCAGUGGGGGAUAUUGCACAAUGGGGGGAACCCUGAUGCAGCAACGCCCGCGUGAGUGAAGAAGUAUUUCGGUAUGUAAAGCUCUAUCAGCAGGGAAGAUGAUGACGGUACCUGACUAAGAAGCUCCGGCUAAAUACGUGCCAGCAGCAGC